rnacentral:lncRNA from 1 species
GUGUGACCUCGGACAAGACGUUUAUUCUCAGUUUCCUCACCUGUGAAGAGGGGGUGCCUGCCACCGAUGAUCUUGGAAGGAUUACAGGAGGCACCAGAACCUGAACCCAGGACCCCCCACAUGAGAGGGCUGUGAAUCAAACCCAGGCCCUACUCUUGGGGGAGCUCACAGACCAGUGGAGAAAACGGACAAGUAAGUUGAUUGCUGAACGUCGUGAUGGGUGGUUGCGUGGGGUAAGCCAU